rnacentral:rRNA from 1 species
UGGGCGCAAGCCUGAUGCAGCCAUGCCGCGUGUGUGAAGAAGGCCUUCGGGUUGUAAAGCACUUUCAGUCAGGAGGAAAGGUUAGUAGUUAAUACCUGCUAGCUGUGACGUUACUGACAGAAGAAGCACCGGCUAACUCCGUGCCAGCAGCCGCGGUAAUACGGAGGGUGCGAGCGUUAAUCGGAAUUACUGGGCGUAAAGCGUACGCAGGCGGUUUGUUAAGCGAGAUGUGAAAGCCCCGGGCUUAACCUGGGAACUGCAUUUCGAACUGGCAAACUAGAGUGUGAUAGAGGGUGGUAGAAUUUCAGGUGUAGCGGUGAAAUGCGUAGAGAUCUGAAGGAAUACCGAUGGCGAAGGCAGCCACCUGGGUCAACACUGACGCUCAUGUACGAAAGCGUGGGGAGCAAACAGGAUUAGAUACCCUGGUAGUCCACGCCGUAAACGAUGUCUACUAGGAGCUGGGGUCUUCGGACAACUUUUCCAAAGCUAACGCAUUAAGUAGACCGCCUG